rnacentral:rRNA from 1 species
UACGUAGGGGGCAAGCGUUGUCCGGAAUUAUUGGGCGUAAAGAGCGUGUAGGCGGUCCGGUAAGUCGGCUGUGAAAGUCCAGGGCUCAACCCUGGGAUGCCGGUCGAUACUGCCGGACUAGAGUUCGGAAGAGGCGAGUGGAAUUCCCGGUGUAGCGGUGAAAUGCGCAGAUAUCGGGAGGAACACCUAUGGCGAAGGCAGCUCGCUGGGACGUUACUGACGCUGAGGCGACGAAAGCGUGGGGAGCAAACAGG